rnacentral:rRNA from 1 species
AAUGAACGCUGGCGGCAUGCCUUACACAUGCAAGUCGAACGGCAGCAUGACCUAGCUUGCUAGGUUGAUGGCGAGUGGCGAACGGGUGAGUAAUGCAUCGGAACGUGCCUUUUAGUGGGGGAUAACGUAGCGAAAGUUACGCUAAUACCGCAUAUUCUCUGAGGAGGAAAGCAGGGGACCUUCGGGCCUUGCGCUAGAAGAGCGGCCGAUGUCGGAUUAGCUAGUUGGUGAGGUAAAGGCUCACCAAGGCAACGAUCCGUAGCGGGUCUGAGAGGAUGAUCCGCCACACUGGGACUGAGACACGGUCCAGACUCCUACGGGAGGCAGCAGUGGGGAAUUUUGGACAAUGGGCGCAAGCCUGAUCCAGCCAUGCCGCGUGAGUGAAGAAGGCCUUCGGGUUGUAAAGCUCUUUCGGCUGGGAAGAAAUCGCACCCUCUAAUACAGGGUGUGGAUGACGGUACCAGCAUAAGAAGCACCGGCUAACUACGUG